GAUGAACGCUGGCGGCGUGCCUAAUACAUGCAAGUCGAGCGAACAGACGAGGAGCUUGCUCCUCUGACGUUAGCGGCGGACGGGUGAGUAACACGUGGAUAACCUACCUAUAAGACUGGGAUAACUUCGGGAAACCGGAGCUAAUACCGGAUAAUAUAUUGAACCGCAUGGUUCAAUAGUGAAAGACGGUUUUGCUGUCACUUAUAGAGGGAUCCGCGCCGCAUUAGCUAGUUGGUAAGGUAACGGCUUACCAAGGCAACGAUGCGUAGCCGACCGGAGAGGGUGAUCGGCCACCCUGGAACUGAGACACGGUCCAGACUCCUACGGGAGGCAGCAGUAGGGAAUCUUCCGCAAUGGGCGAAAGCCUGACGGAGCAACGCCGCGUGAGUGAUGAAGGUCUUCGGAUCGUAAAACUCUGUUAUUAGGGAAGAACAAAUGUGUAAGUAACUAUGCACGUCUUGACGGUACCUAAUCAGAAAGCCACGGCUAACUACGUG
rnacentral:rRNA from 1 species